rnacentral:piRNA from 1 species
UUGGUGGUAUUAAGUGCAAGCACAUUGUCAC